rnacentral:lncRNA from 10 species
CCUGUCACAGUUUAACUGCGUUUGUUCUGCUUCUGUAAGCUUGCUUUCCCCACCCCACAAGUUUUGCACCACAGGCCAACACCCUUUGGUCACAUGAAUAAAAGUCAAGCCCUUUCUUUGCUCAUUGCUCAGCCUCUGGGUAUUAAUCUGCUGAGCUGGUGGCCACCUAAAUACAAUCGUCCUGUUCCCCUCAUUGGUCUCUCCGGUCUCCUGAUUCCAGCCACAUUUUGGUGAGCCAGCCAGGAGUGAAGACGACAGGUUUGCUGUCUCCUUUGCCUGUGGGUCUGGGGCCCCAGCCUGGGGGAGACCCGUGACUCCAGGCAUGCUAUCAGGACAACUUCAACCCGAGGGGAGAUCAGCUCUCCCGCAACCUGGUGCCGCUCUCUGACAGCACAACAGAACCUAAGGGGCUACAGGAUGAUUCAAGGAACAGUGUGCUACAGGACCUCGGUAUUCCUGCUGAGAGUCAUUUCCUGUGCUGGAUUUACCAUCACAGGGACCAGAUUUAUAGAAAAAUGAACAUGUAUUGUUGCUAAAUGGAGUUGGUCAUGGAGUGGAAACUAACAAUAUGUUCACCUAUGGGGUCUCGCUCUGUCCUGGAGUGCAAUGGCACGAUCUUGGCUCACUGCAACCUCCGCCUCCCAGGUUCAAGCAAUUCUCCUGCCUCAGCCUCCCGAGUAGCUGGGACUACAGGCACACGCCAACACGCCAGGCUAAUUUUUUGUAUUUUUAAUAGAGAUGGAGUUUCACCAUGUUCCCCAGGCUGGUCUUGAACUCCUGAGCUCAGGCAAUCCACCUUCCUCUGCCUCCCAAAGUGCUAGGAUUACAGGCGUGAGCCACCGCGCCCGGUCUAUUUAUUUUCUUAACAGGGUAUUUUGCUAAGAAGUUUUACAUUUUGGUGAAGUCUAGUUUUUCCAUUUUUUUAUUAUGCUUAUUAUUUCUUAUGACUUCAGAUUUCCUUCCCUUCACUUAAUUAAUGGAGGUAUUGUAGUAUGAUUUCUUUUACCUUGUAUUUUGAAAUUUUACCUUUUACUCUGUGGUCCAUCUUGAAUUAUCUUUUAUGUAUGAUGUGAGGAUGUGAGAUUACUUUUCUUCAUAUGAAAAUGCAAUUUUUCCACCUUCCAUUCUUGAAGAAAUUAACUUUCCCCAUUUGACUGUUUUGGUGUAUUGGACAGUAAGUUUAAAAAUAUGUUUUAAAAAGUAUUUGCCAUGUUUAAAAAAUGUUUAGAAAGAAAGGCCACAUUCUUGUCUUUUUCCUUAUCUUAGAGGAAAAGGCUUCAACUUUUCACAUUGAGUAUGAUGUUAGCUGUUGGAUUGUCAUACAUGGAUUUUCUUGUUGGUGAACUUUUCUUCUAUACCUAAUUUGUAAUUGAUAAUAAUAAUAUAUUGUUUAUAUCAAAACAGCUAAAAAAGGGAUUUUAAAUGCUCUCACCACAAAGAAAUGAUAGUAUUUGGGUGGGAUAAAUAUGUUAAUUGACCAUAUUUGAUUAUUCCACAAUGUACAUGUAACAAAACACCACAUUGUACCCCAUAAAUAUAUAAAAUUAUUAUUUGCAAUUAGAAAUAAAAUAUAACUUAAAAAAGAAAAUCCAUAACUCCUUUCUAUAAUUUAUGAAUGUAUGUCAAAAGUCUUAAAUUUGGUUUUAAAUAUCUUGCUGUAACUGAUCUUUACUGUCUAUUUACAGGUCACUAGACAUCCUGCUCCAGGUGUAAUUAUGCUAUUAACACAAACAACAGCUGGCUCACAUGUACUAAGCUCACAUGUACUAAGCUCACUUGUACUAGCAGCUCAUUGAGCCCACAUGUACUAAGCAGCGUGAUAAGUACUUGUAUAUGCAGUAUGUCAUAUACAGGCAAUAAUUUUA